rnacentral:SRP_RNA from 1 species
GCUGGGUGUGUUGGCAUGCACCUGUAAUCCUAGCUACUUGGGAGGCUGAGGUGGGAGGACCACUUGAGCCCAGGAGUUCAAGUGAGCUAUGAUUUGCCACUGCACUCUAGCCUGGGCAACAGAAUGAGACUCUGUCUCUU